rnacentral:misc_RNA from 1 species
CUGAGUUCGGGGGCAAUCCCAGUCCCGACCUCCAACCCUUUGUGAACAUAUCUUGUUGCUUCGGGGGCAACCCUGCCGUUCGCGGCAUUCCCCCCGGAGGUCGUCAAAACACUGCAUUAUUACGUCGGAGUAAAAAGUUAAUUUAAUA